AAAUGUUGAUCCUGCCAGUAGUCAUAUGCUUGUCUCAAAGAUUAAGCCAUGCAUGUCUAAGUGCAAGCCAAAUUAAGGUGAAACCGCGGAAGGCUCAUUAUAUCAGUUAUGGUUCAAUAGAUCGUACUCAGUUACUUGGAUAACUGCGGAAAUACUGGAGCUAAUACAUGCCAACAGAGUCCCGACCGGAGACGGAAGGGACGCUUUUAUUAGAUCAAAACCAAUCGGUGGUUUCGGCCAUCGUGCAGUCUGGUGACUCUGAAUAACUUUGGGCUGAUCGCACGGCCUUCGUGCCGGCGACGCAUCUUUCAAAUGUCUGCCUUAUCAACUGUCGAUGGUAGGUUCUGCGCCUACCAUGGUUGUAACGGGUAACGGGGAAUCAGGGUUCGAUUCCGGAGAGGGAGCCUGAGAAACGGCUACCACAUCCAAGGAAGGCAGCAGGCGCGCAAAUUACCCACUCCCGGCUCGGGGAGGUAGUGACGAAAGAUAACGAUACGGGACUCAUCCGAGGCCCCGUAAUCGGAAUGACUACACUUUAAAUCCUUUAAGGAGUAUCAAUUGGAGGGCAAGUCUGGUGCCAGCAGCCGCGGUAAUUCCAGCUCCAAUAGCGUAUAUUAAAGUUGUUGCGGUUAAAAAGCUCGUAGUUGGAUCUGUGUCCCRCACCGUCGGGCGGUGAACCGACGGUGUCAAACUGACGCGAUGCGGGACGUCCUGCCGGUGGCGUGCAGCUGCGCGGCCUUUCGGGGACGCGUGGGCGGCGCCGAUUCAAUCCCGUCGCGGUGCUCUUCAUUGAGUGUCGAGGUGGGCCGGCACGUUUACUUUGAACAAAUUAGAGUGCUUCAAGCAGGCUGGAUAUUGCCUGAAUGCUAGUGCAUGGAAUAAUGGAAUAGGACCUCGGUUCUAUUUUGUUGGUUUUCGGAACCAGAGGUAAUGAUUAAUGGAGACAGGCGGGGGCAUUCGUAUUGCGACGUUAGAGGUGAAAUUCUUGGAUUUAUGAAAGACGAACAACUGCGAAAGCAUUUGCCAAGGAUGUUUUCAUUAAUCAAGAACGGAAAGUUGGGGGCUCGAAGACGAUCAGAUACCGUCCUAGUCUCAACCAUAAACGAUGCCGACCAGGGAUCAGCGGAUGUYGCUUUUAGGACUCCGCUGGCACCUUAUGAGAAAUCAAAGUAGUUCGGUUCGGGUCGGGGAGUAUGGUCGCAAGGCUGAAACUUAAAGGAAUUGACGGAAGGGCACCACCAGGAGUGGAGCCUGCGGCUUAAUUUGACCCAACACGGGGAAACUUACCAGGUCCAGACAUAGUAAGGAUUGACAGACUGAGAGCUCUUUCUUGAUUCUAUGGGUGGUGGUGCAUGGCCGUUUCUUAGUUGGUGGAGCGAUUUGUCUGGUUUAAUUCCGUUAAACGACGAGACCUCAGCCCUGCUAAGAAGCUGGCCGUGGAGGGUUACCUCCACAUAGCUAUUAGACGGGAUAUGCCGCUUAGGCCACGGAGUUGAGG
rnacentral:rRNA from 1 species